CCGUCUAACCCUCGGCCUGCAAACCAAGCGGUGGCCAUCGCUUUCGAAAAAUCAGAAGAAAUUAAUUUCCUCUCUGGAGGAGACGACAUUCCAGUCGUAAGGCCUUCCUGUCAUCUGCGGGCCAUGAGCGUCUCACAGGGUCGUAAACGGCUUGGAGGGGAAGAAGAAUUGGCCAAGAAUCAGAGAGAAGAUUCAACCUAGAGCUGAGCAACUAAAUGCCAGAAGAAACAAAGAAGAGAAAGAAGAGAAUGAGAGUUUACACACACAGGGAACGUCAGGUUUCUCUCACCUGCAGCAGGACCAGAUGCUUUCAGGAUAAACCCCUUUAAACCCGC